rnacentral:rRNA from 1 species
AGAGUUUGAUUCUGGCUCAGAAUGAACGCUGGCGGCGUGCCUAACACAUGCAAGUCGAAUGUGCCGCAAGGUGCAUGGCAGACGGGUGAGUAACGCGUGGGCAAUCUACCUUCUCGUGGGGAAUAACGCUCCGAAAGGAGUGGUAAUACCGCAUGAGACCAAUGGCUGGGAUGCUGUUGGUGAAACCUGGGGACCGCAAGGCCUGGGGCGAGAAGAGGAGCCUGCGUCUGAUUAGCUAGUUGGUCGGGUAAUGGCCUACCAAGGCAUCGAUCAGUAGCCGGCCUGAGAGGGUGAUCGGCCACACUGGAACUGAGACACGGUCCAGACUCCUACGGGAGGCAGCAGUGGGGAAUUUUGCGCAAUGGGCGAAAGCCUGACGCAGCAACGCCGCGUGGGUGAUGAAGGUCUUCGGAUCGUAA